rnacentral:lncRNA from 1 species
GUCUAGCUCUAGCUCUUGGAUGGGCAUCGCUCACGGCAGAGCUGCUGCAGCACACCCGAGGUCUCAGCCCAUGGAUUCAGCAUGCAGAGCCCUCAUCUCCAGCAGCCAGGUGGAACAGACCGCUGGGAAAAGGGAGUUUGGUGUGUGAUGGCAAGAUUCACCAGUGCCCCUUCCACCAUUGCGUAUCAGCCGGAUGUACUCACCUUGACAGGAGUGUAAAAUUUACAACAGAAAUUACUUUAAGACUGGAAAAGCUCUUACUUAACUGAACCAUCAUUCAAAAUGCAUUAUGAAAGUCACCAAGGAGAAGUUUUCCAUCUCACUGUCUGCAGGACUCCUGCAGGUCUUCUGAAGCUUAAGUUCAUGCAUAGGACAUGGCAGGCCUGGUCAUUUCACUUCUUGUAUGUUCUCAGUUGGAAGUCACUGAAAAUCAGAAGAAGCUCCCAGCACCAGUCUGGCAUCAUCAGACAUCUACCCACCAGCAUUUUAAAGAUUUUUCCACAGAGCCAUAAAAUUGCACCUUCCUUGUUGAACUUAAAAUCCAGCCCACCUGUAAUAACAGAGCAGUGGAACAGUAUGGAUCUCUCCUGGAUGUCUGCAGUGCAGUGAGCUGGGGUGGCUUGCCUUCACACUGAAAUAAAGGUCAUGUCCUAAUGUUAUGCCUUCCUGUU